rnacentral:rRNA from 1 species
AUUGAACGCUGGCGGCAUGCCUUACACAUGCAAGUCGAACGGCAGCACGGGAGCAAUCCUGGUGGCGAGUGGCGAACGGGUGAGUAAUGCAUCGGAACGUGCCAUUGAGUGGGGGAUAACGUAGCGAAAGUUACGCUAAUACCGCAUAUUCUGUGCGCAGGAAAGCAGGGGAUCGCAAGACCUUGCGCUCUUUGAGCGGCCGAUGUCAGAUUAGCUAGUUGGUGAGGUAAAGGCUCACCAAGGCGACGAUCUGUAGCGGGUCUGAGAGGAUGAUCCGCCACACUGGGACUGAGACACGGCCCAGACUCCUACGGGAGGCAGCAGUGGGGAAUUUUGGACAAUGGGGGCAACCCUGAUCCAGCCAUGCCGCGUGAGUGAAGAAGGCCUCGGUUGUAAGCUCUUCGUCCGGACGAGUACGCACAGGUUAAUACCCUCGUGUGGAGUGACGGUACCGGACGUAAG